rnacentral:rRNA from 1 species
UACGUAGGGGGCAAGCGUUGUCCGGAAUCAUUGGGCGUAAAGCGCGUGUAGGCGGCUUGGUAAGUCUGCUCUGAAAGCCCGGGGCUCAACCCCGGGAGGCGGGUGGAUACUGUCAAGCUCGAGUCCGGAAGAGGAGUGUGGAAUUCCUGGUGUAGCGGUGAAAUGCGCAGAUAUCAGGAGGAACACCAAUGGCGAAGGCAGCACUCUGGGACGUGACUGACGCUGAGUGCGAACGUG